rnacentral:rRNA from 1 species
UACGGGGGGGGGCAAGCGUUUGUUCGGAAUUACUGGGCGUAAAGGGCCAGUAGGCGGCCAACUAAGUCGGAUGUGAAAUCCCCAGGCUUAACCUGGGAACUGCAUCCGAUACUGGAUGGCUUGAAUUCGGGAGAGGGAUGCAGAAUUCCAGGUGUAGCGGUGAAAUGCGUAGAUAUCUGGAGGAACACCGGUGGCGAAGGCGACAUCCUGGACCGGUAUUGACGCUGAGGCGCGAAAGCCAGGGGAGCAAACGGG